UACGUAGGGUGCAAGCGUUGUCCGGAAUUAUUGGGCGUAAAGAGCUCGUAGGCGGUUUGUCGCGUCUGCUGUGAAAACCCGAGGCUCAACCUCGGGCCUGCAGUGGGUACGGGCAGACUAGAGUGCGGUAGGGGAGAUUGGAAUUCCUGGUGUAGCGGUGGAAUGCGCAGAUAUCGGGAGGAACACCCGUAGCGAAGGCGGCCGACUGGACCAUACCUGACGCUGAGGCGCGAAGGCCAGGGGAGCGAACGGG
rnacentral:rRNA from 1 species